AUUGAACGCUGGCGGCAUGCCUUACACAUGCAAGUCGAACGGCAGCACGGGUGCUUGCACCUGGUGGCGAGUGGCGAACGGGUGAGUAAUACAUCGGAACAUGUCCUGUAGUGGGGGAUAGCCCGGCGAAAGCCGGAUUAAUACCGCAUACGAUCUACGGAUGAAAGCGGGGGACCUUCGGGCCUCGCGCUAUAGGGUUGGCCGAUGGCUGAUUAGCUAGUUGGUGGGGUAAAGGCCUACCAAGGCGACGAUCAGUAGCUGGUCUGAGAGGACGACCAGCCACACUGGGACUGAGACACGGCCCAGACUCCUACGGGAGGCAGCAGUGGGGAAUUUUGGACAAUGGGCGAAAGCCUGAUCCAGCAAUGCCGCGUGUGUGAAGAAGGCCUUCGGGUUGUAAAGAACUUUUGUCCGGAAAGAAAUCCUUGGCCCUAAUACGGUCGGGGGAUGACGGUACCGGAAGAAUAAGCACCGGCUAACUACGUG
rnacentral:rRNA from 1 species